GAUGAAGAACGUAGCGAAAUGCGAUAAGUAAUGUGAAUUGCAGAAUUCAGUGAAUCAUCGAAUCUUUGAACGCACAUUGCGCCCAUCAGUAUUCUGUUGGGCAUGCCUGUCCGAGCGUCAUUUCUACCCUCAGGGCCCGUUCGCGGGAACUGGUGUUGGGGAUCGGCCUCCCCCCGGAGGCCGGCCCCGAAAUGCAGUGGCGGCUCUACCGCGAUCUCCUCUGUGUAGUAGCGAUACCUCGCAGCUGGAUAGUGGUGGUGCCACGCCGUAAAAUCCCAACUUUACCAAGGUUGACCUCGGAUCAGGUAGGAAUACCCGCUGAACUUAAGCAUAUCAAUAAGCGGAGGA
rnacentral:misc_RNA from 1 species